rnacentral:tRNA from 1 species
GGGGAUGUAGCUCAGUGGUAGAGUGCUUGCUUAGUGUGCAUGAGGCCCUAUGUUCAAUCCAUUGUACUGCCA